CCUACGGGAUGCAGCAGUGAGGAAUAUUGGUCAAUGGGCGCGAGCCUGAACCAGCCACGUAGCGUGAAGGAUGACUGCCCUACGGGUUGUAAACUUCUUUUAUAAAGGAAUAAAGUGAGGCACGUGUGCCUUUUUGUAUGUACUGUAUGAAUAAGGAUCGGCUAACUCCGUGCCAGCAGCCGCGGUAAUACGGAGGAUCCGAGCGUUAUCCGGAUUUAUUGGGUUUAAAGGGAGCGUAGAUGGGUUGUUAAGUCAGUUGUGAAAGUUUGCGGCUCAACCGUAAAAUUGCAAUUGAUACUGGCAGCCUUGAGUGCAGUUGAGGUAAGCGGAAUUCGUGGUGUAGCGGUGAAAUGCUUAGAUAUCACGAAGAACUCCGAUUGCGAAAGCAGCUUACUAAACUGCCACUGACAUUGAUGCUCGAAAGUGUGGGUAUCAAACAGGAUUAGAUACCCGAGUAGUC
rnacentral:rRNA from 1 species